rnacentral:lncRNA from 1 species
GAUUAACAGCAAAAGUAGGCGAGACACUGGGUUCCGUGGAACCCUUACAAAUUUUUUUUUCAAUAAUUUUGCUAAUGAGGGGCAGAGGACAAAAACAGACUUUCCUAACAAAAGCGACGUUAAAGGUUAUGUCAAACAAUUUUCCAUUUCGACGGAUGGGGUUUCUGAAGGUUAAUAUUGUGCGGCAACAACAUCAUAAGAUCUGAUACUGACACAUGCAUUUAAUCUCUUGUAUUACCGGAUAAUAAAGUACAUUGUAGGUGAAUAUAGUUGUUAGUCUUGGAAAUUUAAAUGUGGGUUUCAAACGUCCAAUUUCCGAUUGUUUUCAAAUAGUGCACCAGCAAGGAAAGUUUGUACUAUGACGUCAGAUGCAAUGUUCUGAAGAAAGACAACUCUUUUCUUUAACGAAGAAGAAAAAAACAUGAAAAUUACUCAUAGCUUUUUUGAAAAGUCGGUGACAUACACUUUUUUUGGCUUUAUUUUGAAGAGUACACAUGGCACUUUCCUUCUUGAAAUUAUUA